rnacentral:tRNA from 1 species
GGGUGCAGCUCAGUGGUAGAGCACUUGCCUAGCACGCAUGAGGCCCUGGGCGCCAUCCCCAGCCACACA